rnacentral:rRNA from 1 species
GACGAACGCUGGCGGCGUGCUUAACACAUGCAAGUCGAACGGAAAGGCCCUGCUUUUGUGGGGUGCUCGAGUGGCGAACGGGUGAGUAACACGUGAGUAACCUGCCCUUGACUUUGGGAUAACUUCAGGAAACUGGGGCUAAUACCGGAUAGGAGCUCCUGCUGCAUGGUGGGGGUUGGAAAGUUUCGGCGGUUGGGGAGGGACUCGCGGCUUAUCAGCUUGUUGGUGGGGUAGUGGCUUACCAAGGCUUUGACGGGUAGCCGGCCUGAGAGGGUGACCGGCCACAUUGGGACUGGGAUACGGCACAGACUCCUACGGGAGGCAGCAGUGCGGAAUAGUGCACAAUGGGCGGAAGCCUGGUGCAGCCACGCCGCGUGCGGGAUGACAGCAUUCGGGUUGUAAUCCGCUUUCGCCUGUGACGAGGCGUGAGUGACGGUAAUGGGUAAAGAAGCACCGGCUAACUACGUG